rnacentral:hammerhead_ribozyme from 1 species
AUCUAGUUGAUGAGUCCCAAACAGGACGAAACGUCAGUCCUGGUU